rnacentral:rRNA from 1 species
CGGGUAUGCCGAGAGGUGAAAGGUUAACUGCCUGGAGAUGAGCUCGCGUCUGAUUAGCUAGUUGGUGGUGUAAGGGACUACCAAGGCGACGAUCAGUAGCUGGUCUGAGAGGAUGAUCAGCCACACUGGAACUGAGACACGGUCCAGACUCCUACGGGAGGCAGCAGUGGGGAAUUUUCCGCAAUGGGCGAAAGCCUGACGGAGCAAUACCGCGUGAGGGAGGAAGGCUCUUGGGUUGUAAACCUCUUUUCUCAGGGAAUAAGCAAGUGAAGGUACCUGAGGAAUCAGCAUCGGCUAACUCCGUGCCAGCAGCCGCGGUAAUACGGAGGAUGCAAGCGUUAUCCGGAAUGAUUGGGCGUAAAGCGUCCGUAGGUGGCUGUGUGUGUCUAUUGUUAAAGAGUUUGGCUCAACCAAAUAAGGGCGGUAGAAACUACACAGCUAGAGUGCGUUCGGGGCAGAGGGAAUUCCUGGUGUAGCGGUGAAAUGCGUAGAGAUCAGGAAGAACACCGGUGGCGAAAGCGCUCUGCUAGGCCGCAACUGACACUGAGGGACGAAAGCUAGGGGAGCGAAUGGGAUUAGAUCCCCCUUUUUUUAAAAA